rnacentral:rRNA from 1 species
AUUGAACGCUGGCGGCAGGCCUAACACAUGCAAGUCGAGCGGAUGACGGGAGCUUGCUCCUUGAUUCAGCGGCGGACGGGUGAGUAAUGCCUAGGAAUCUGCCUGGUCGUGGGGGACAACGUUUCGAAAGGAACGCUAAUACCGCAUACGUCCUACGGGAGAAAGCAGGGGACCUUCGGGCCUUGCGCUAUCAGAUGAGCCUAGGUCGGAUUAGCUAGUUGGUGGGGUAAUGGCUCACCAAGGCGACGAUCCGUAAAUGGUCUGAGAGGAUGAUCAGCCACACUGGAACUGAGAGACGGUCCAGCCUCCGACGGGGAGCAGCAGUGGGGCAUAUGGGACAAUGGGCGAAAGCCUGAGCCAGCCAUGCCGGGUGUGUGAAGAAGGUCUUCGGAUUGUAAAGCACUUUAAGUUGGGAGGAAGGGCAGUAAGCUAAUACCUUGCUGUUUUGACGUUACCGACAGAAUAAGCACCGGCUAACUCUGUGCCAGCCGCCGCGGUAA